GACAGAGGCCCCAAGCGUUAGGCGGAAUCACUGGGCUUAAAGCGUGUGUAGGCGGACGCCUAAGUGUCUUGUGAAAUCCCACGGCUCACCCGUGGAACUGCUGGGCAUACUGGGCGUCUUGGGCCAACUAGGGGCAGCCGGAACAAGCGGUGGAGCGGUGAGAUGCGUAGAUAUCGCUUGGAACGCCGAAGGUGAAAACAGGCUGCUGGGGUUGCGCCGACGCUGAGACACGAAAGCCAGGGGAGCAAACGGG
rnacentral:rRNA from 1 species